rnacentral:rRNA from 1 species
UGGGUAAAAGCAGUCGUUCAGAGGACGCCUACUCUCAUUCUCGUUCUAUUCCAUCUGUUUUUAAGUUGGUCUCAGCACCAGUCCCUCGACGCACGGCACGUCUCUACGGCUGGUAGUAGCAGUUCCAUCUGGAGCUGACGCCGGCGACGGUGCGGUUCUAGUCCUUCCACGAGCUCUCCUAGUCCCUCUUCCCACUCAAGUAGUAGCUGCUGUAGUUCAUGCUGCUCUUCUUCUUGGUGCACUAGCACAGCCCGGGGAAGCUGCGGCUGUUCGACCCGCUGUUCGAGACGACGUUCCGCACGUUGUAGUAGUUCCUCUAGCUCUGGCAGCUCGGCUAGUUCUUUGUCCUAGGGUUCGGAGGCGGCGGCUGCCUGUUCCACUUCGGGGGCCCGGGCCCAUUCCUACUCUGCCAGUUCCACUUCGUUGUCGGCGGCGGCGGCGGGGGAGGCCGCGGGUUCCAACACCUCCACGGCCACGGCAUGGGCACGGGGAUGGGGAUGGGCAAGGGCCGCCCCGGCAGGCCGACGACGACGGUGGUCCCUGUGCCGCCGACGGUCACGAGCCGCGGCCGCGGGGUCAUGUGGUACGGCGGCAGCAUAGGUACGCCGCCGAUGUACUACCAGACGCUCCUCCUGGGCAGGCCGCGGACGUGGCAGUACACUGAGCAAUGCGAGAUUAAGGAGCACAUAUUCGUGACAUUGCUACGCGUACAUGCUGGCUAGGGUCGCUUUUAAUACGUUAUUUUUUAGGCGUAAGCACAUUCACUUUGACACUUUGGUUGCUCCUCCUUCUGCAGUCACCGUCGUCUCGUGAGGGCGAAACAAAUACAACGUAAG